UUAAGAGUCAAUGCUCACAGGCAUCACAGACUGCAGUUGGAAAACAAGCUCUUGCCAAUUCGUCCCAGUUCGUUUGAGUAGAGGCGAUUACGAUCGUCUUUUAUUAAAUUUCAUUGAGUUUAUCAAACUGAAACAAACUUUACUACUUUAGCGGUACAAUUUAUAUUUGAUUGAUGAUUGAUCAUAUUGAAAAUACUCAAGUUCGAGUUCUUUUAGUUGUUGUUGGUAAAGAAAGUAUAACCUGUAGAGUUAAGUUACUUGAUUUGUUUAUGAUUGUAAAAACAUUGUUAUAAAUUGUAGAUUGACAGUGUUUAAGAAGAUCGUGGUGAAAUGCAAGUUAUAGGGAUAAUAUUUUUCGCAUGCUUGGCCUUCGCCAUAGCUAUACUAAUCUUAAUCACAUGCUGUUUCUACAAAGUCAGCAGUGGCAAAGACGAUCCCGAAAUGUGCAAAGCAUCAGUAAACGCAUCAGAUAAAGUACAUCGAAUGAAACAAAUCGCACACAACAAACCAGUCAGUGACGAAAAGCCGAGCGCAAAUGUUAUUUUAUUUUUAAACAAGAAAAAUAAAUACUCAGAUGAAAAAAGAAAUCAUUAUCAAAGUCACAGUGGUGAUGGGCUUGGGAUUGGUCAUUUUAAUGACGGAUUCUGCAGUCAUCAAAGCGGUUGGGGUCAUCACAGUAAUGAUCAAGGAUUUGAUGAUUGUGGGCAUACUAAUGACGGAGGGCAUGGAGGGGAUGGGGACGGUGGAGACGAUUAAUAUAGAAACCCUGUAGUAAAUAUGAUUCAUAAAAUAGCAUAAGCAUUAAGUUUGAUUUAGUGUACCUACGAGUGAUUUAUUAUUUAAUACCCUGCCAACCAACCAAAAGUUUUUAAGUAGGAACUUAAAGUAGGCAUUAUUUUAUAAGAUUCUUAAACUUAAUUUAACAAGUUACCAAUGUCAAGAUAUUAAAAAAGAUCUUAUUUGUGUAAUGUCAAGAUAUUAAAAAAGAUCUUAUUUGUGUGAUAGUAUAAAUUGUUUUUAUUUUACAUAUAAAAUAUGAAAUCACUGAUGU